rnacentral:miRNA from 1 species
UGUGUGUGUGUGUGUGUGUGUGUGUGUGUGUGUGUCUCACCAAGAAAAACACUGGCACACUCCCAACACGUUCUGCA